UUUACUUUAGCUUAACUAUAAAGCAUUUUUUUACAAAAAAUAGAUAAAACGUAAAA
rnacentral:tRNA from 1 species